rnacentral:tRNA from 2 species
GCGGGAGUGGCGCAGUGGUAGCGCAAUUGCUUCCCAAGCAAUGGGUCGCGGGUUCGAAUCCCGUCUCCCGCUCCA